AAGUCGUAACAAGGUUUCCGUAGGUGAACCUGCGGAAGGAUCAUUAUCGAGUUAUUGAACGGGUUGUAGCUGGCCUUUCACGAGGCAUGUGCACGCCUGGCUCAUCCACUCUCAACCUCUGUGCACUUACAUGUAAGAAACGGUGAAAGUCAGCUUGAAAAGGCUGGCGGAAGCCUUUCUUAUGUUUACUACAAACGCUUCAGUUAUAGAAUGUUUUAUUGUGUAUAACACAUUUAUGUACAACUUUCAGCAACGGAUCUCUUGGCUCUC
rnacentral:misc_RNA from 1 species